AUUGAACGCUGGCGGCAUGCCUUACACAUGCAAGUCGAACGGCAGCACGGGAGCAAUCCUGGUGGCGAGUGGCGAACGGGUGAGUAAUAUAUCGGAACGUGCCCAGUCGUGGGGGAUAACGUAGCGAAAGCUACGCUAAUACCGCAUACGAUCUAUGGAUGAAAGCGGGGGAUCGCAAGACCUCGCGCGAUUGGAGCGGCCGAUAUCAGAUUAGGUAGUUGGUGAGGUAAAGGCUCACCAAGCUGACGAUCUGUAGCUGGUCUGAGAGGACGACCAGCCACACUGGGACUGAGACACGGCCCAGACUCCUACGGGAGGCAGCAGUGGGGAAUUUUGGACAAUGGGCGCAAGCCUGAUCCAGCAAUGCCGCGUGCAGGAUGAAGGCCUUCGGGUUGUAAACUGCUUUUGUACGGAACGAAACGGUGAGCUCUAAUACAGUUUGCUAAUGACGGUACCGUAAGAAUAAGCACCGGCUAACUACGUG
rnacentral:rRNA from 1 species